UUCAAUCAGGACGUGGAUACAACGAUGGUGGGGCACAGGGACAAGCACCUGCCCACCAGGGUGAGGGCAGCUCGGUAUGGUAGUGAGAGCCUCAUGGGGCAGCAGGCUGGGGAUCCCCACACCAACGGACGGCCCUCACCUAGUAAUGCUCAGCCAUCCCCGUACAUCCAGCUAUAGUCAUGUGCAGUUAGAGGGUUCAUUGUGUAGAUAACCUGUGCCUACCUUGGAAGAGUGCCAGAACUCUCAAGACAAACUAGAGGAAUGGGAUUUGAUAAUGGGAGUAGCCUGUGUGACGAAUAAUGUAGCAUAAUUGGUGAGAGUUUAUUGUUGAAGGAUGGAGCCAAGGCCCUUCAUGUACACGUGUUCUGACACUCCCGGAGGUUUCCCCUUCCUUCCCUAAACCCAAACCCUUUCAUUCAUAGUCCAGUUGAGUAAAAGCA